ACUCAGCUAAGAGGACUUUGCAGUUGAGGCUGAAUCUUGAUCCAUGUAGUCCAUUCCCGAUGGUGCUAUUUAGAAGGCCUUUUGUUGUCUGAGCAAAGUUGUCUUCCUGGCCUUACUACUGAAUCUUGGCAAAGGAUCAAUGGGUGUGAAUCAUGGCAAUACAGUGAAAGACAGUGAUUUACUGCUUUUGAGGGCGUGCAUGUAUAUGAUUAACGGAUGGAAGUGCAGGACUCCAAGAUUUACUUCCUUCCCUUUCCAGCAGAAUUACCUGAGACGAGUAAAAUCUACUGGUGGAGUCACUCCAUUAUUCUUAUCUGUGGAGAUCUAGAUCUUGAUUUGAAAGUUUCUGAGAAAAUCUUCAGCUCAGACUUGAGGGUCAACUUUACCAGCUGAAGGAUCUGCAUUUACUGCUCAACCACAUCUAAUUUGAUGUCCUCUGCAGAUUUAAAAUGUGUGCCUUCUUUUCCGUCACCAAGUCAUCCCUGGGUUACUACUGAACAUCCUUCUCAAUUCCCCCCGACCCAUGGAUGGCUGUUCUCCAUUGUCUGUUUCACCAGAUGUCCUCAAAACAAACAGACAGAAGAAGGAAGUGGCUAAUGGAGCUGUGGAGUCCAAGUGUGACUGCCAAGAGGAAUCCAGCAAAGCCAAAAAGCCCAAGCAUGUAGCCCUGCCCGAAGCACGCCACACGCAUGGAAAACCCAGAGGAAAUGAGUGAGGAUCAAUGGGAAGAAGAGAGCCAGCCAGGAAGUUGAAGAUUUGUCCAGGAGCAGAUAGCUGAAGAGAGAGAGAGAGAAGAGAGAACGGCUUACAGCUCAGGUCCUCUCUCCAUGCUUAGGAACCACUACAAAUGCUACUGCCUUGAGUCUCAUUUUGUUUCCCUCUGGAAACCACAUGUGUACCUUGUUUGCAACAGUAUGGUUCUGGAGACCAGAAGGCCAAAAUCAAAAGUAUGGGCAGGCUUGAUUUCUUUAGAAGACUCCAGCGGAGAACUGUGUCUCCUUGCUUCUGAUUCUACAUCUCCAUCCAUGGGCCACUGUUUCAGCAACCUCAGCCAGUGCAACACAACCUCAGCCAAGAAGAGUAUGCAGAGAAAGGAGUCCCCUACCUGCCACAAAACUGUUGUCUGAAAACUGUCUCAUAUUGUCUCAAGUUGUCAUUCAUUGUGAAUUAGACCUGUUUAACAUGUAAUCUGCAACAUGCUUCACUGUCUAAUUUUCCAGAGCCCCUCAUAUAAGGAACUGUAUUAUUGGUAUAAUCAUCAUGGUGAAGAAGUUGGUAUGUGGGGGAGAGAUGACAGAAACAGAGAGUAAGUCAGAGCUGGCUGCCUGACAGAUAAAAAGGAAAUGACCAAAAAAAAAAAAAAAGACACAGAAGAAUACUUUGUUGUCCACACAGAAAAGGGAAGUGUAGGUAAGACAGCAGUAGACUAAGAUUCUUAAGACUCAAGUUCUAGUCUUAUUUAUUAGCUAUGGGAGGCCUUGAGGGAGUUCUAGAAUUAAGUGAUCUCUCUUUAUAAAAUAGGAACAGUAAUAACUUCCUGGCUAACUCCCUGGCUGUCUCACAAUGCUGUAGUAGUAAGAAAUAAUUUUAUAAUUAAAGACUAUUUUAGGGCUGAUUACAUUUUUGGGCAGUGGCUCAUACAUGUAAUUUCAACAUUUUGGGAGGCCAAGGUGGGCGGAUUGCUUGAGCCCAGGAAUUCAAGACCAGGCUGGGCAACACAGACCUUGUCACUACAAAAGAAAAAAACAUUAGCUAGGCGUGGUGAUGUAUGCCUGUGGUCCCAGCUACUCAGGAAGCUGAGACAGGAGGAUCACCUGAGCCUGGGAGGUCGAGGCUACAGUGAGCCAUGAUCACACUACUGCACUCCAGCCUGGGAAACAGAGUGAGACUCUGUCUCAAAAAAAAAAAAAAAGGAAUAUUUUACACUUCAAGGUUCUAUACAAAUGUAAAAUAUCAUUCUAUUACUUAUUUAUAAUGCUGAUUAUUCUUUAAAUGACUUUAAAAUGUUAAUCUCUGCUUGAGCCUACGGAGAAGUAUGUAACAAAUUUGUGAAGGAUUGGCAUUAAACAUAGUCAAAAUAAAACAUAGAAAUUAUGGUAAAUAAUUUAACUGGUAAAAUAAUCUAAGUGGUAGUUCUCAGGUAAGUGGAAAUUCGAUUAGCUGAUUGUUUAGGAUUCUUGGUUAUAAGUGACAGAGACCUGACUAAAAGUACAUGAAGCACAUAACUGAGAAGGUUGUGGUAUGGCUCAGCAGAAAUGGGAAAAUCUUGGGACUGGUUCGUGUUUUAUUUACAUUAUCUUUGUUCCCAGGCAGUCUCUGCAUGUAAGUGGCAAAGAUGACUGUCUGAAAAUAUAUACCUACUUUUUUAAAGGGCUAUCUCAAGCCAUUCUGGAGAAGCACCAAAAGCCACUUUGCUUAUACUGGGAGAAUAGUUUGCUUUCCCUAAUUUGUGAUGAGUGAAACACUGAACAGAGACAUAGAAUAAUAUUCUGUAGUUCAGGGUUGGUGUAAUAUGGCCAGUGGGCGGAAUCUGGUCCUCAGACUGAUUUUGCAAAUAAUCUUAUAGAAACACAGCAACACCCAUUCAUUACAUGUUGUUUAUGGUUGCUUUGGGGUUACAAUGGCAGAGUUGAGUAGUUGUGACAGAGAUCACUAGGCUCACCACAUCUGAGAUAUGUACUGACUGACCCUGUACAGAAAGUUUGCUGCUCUUAGAGGAAUGUGUGUUUCUAGUGUCAGCAAUAAACUUCUUGGAUUUGUUUUGUUUUCUCAUCUUUACAUGAUAGUUGCAGACUAGUUGAUCCUUGUGACCUGUUUUUGAAUGCCACUGUGUAUUCUGUCAGGGCCCUCUGAUUCUGUUUCUUAUGGUGCUGAAUGCACAAUUUAAUGCCCUGGAAUUUCCUUCUGUCUUCUGCUAAACUCAUGCCUCUUCAGAUAGUUAAAAUCCUGUUCUACCUUAGAAGUCUCCAGAGUUAUUUUCCUAAAUUAAGAAGAACUGGCUUUGAAGUUACUCAUUAUGCCACACACAAUGGUUGAAAAGAGCAUCUCUUAUGUACUGUGUAUAUUUCAGCAUCCACUCAGCUUCUUAGGUAGAAAAGGAAGAGUCUUCCACAGUGUAUUUUAUCCAUAUUUGGGUCAGAAACUCUUCUUUACCACGGAGCGUGAUGGAAGAAAGAUAUGGGAUGGUAACAGUAGGCCAGGGAUGUAAUAAUCACAAAAUUUGAGAUAUUUUGUGACUGGUGACUCACGCCUGUGAUCCCAGCAUUUUGGGAGGCCAAAGCGGGCGGAUCACCUGAGGUCAGGAGUUCAAGACCAGCUUGGCCAAUGUAGUGAAACCUCAUCUCUACUAAAAAAAUAUAAAAAUUAGCUGGGUGUGGUGGUGCACACCUGUAAUCCUAGCUACUCAGGAGGCUGAGGCAGGAGAAUAGCUUGAACCAAGGAGGUGGAGGUUGCAGUGAGCUGAGAUUGUGCCACCACUGCAUUCCAGUCUGGGUGACAGAGCGAGACUCUGUCUCAAAAAAAAAAAAAAAAAAAAUCUAGAAAAAGAUCUCCAAGAUUCAAUCAUCUAAUUAUUUCUUUUAAAAAUGAGAAAAAUGACUCCUGGUCAGCUUUUACCUUCUUUUUCCAACUGUCUUGACAAUACUUUCAUAUUGGGCUUUUAAAGUCUCAAGUAAUAGGUUUUUAAAACCUCAGCUGAUAAAAGUAUAAAAAUAAAGUUAAAACAUAUUAAAGACAAAACCCAAGAAUCAGCUUCCUCUUCCUUCAUUACUCUUGCAUGGGUGUUGGCUCUAAUUUCUCCAUCUAGUUAGGCAGUCCUUUGCUUUUUAUUGCUUGUUUAUUGAUGACAUUUGCCAUUUGUAGCAAUAGUAAUAGAAUCAUCUAUAUAUUUGUGGCCUUGUUGAAUGUAGAAAAAGGAUAGUGGCAUUUUCUAAUUGUGUAACCCUAUAACACCUUGACGGGGGACUACAGUUCAUAUGCUGGACCUUUUGUGUUUGUUCAUGGCGGGUGGGUUGCUUUAAUAUACUUAGCACAUUGUCCUAAUUGCCAUCCUUUUGGGGAGGGCUAUAUAUCCAAGCUAAUAUGGUAGCAUUUUUGUUUUAACAUAGAGCUGACCCAAGGUAGACGUAAGUGUUGUUCAUUUUUGCCUAAUACUAAUAAAAUUACCUAAUUGUUGAAGCUUGGAGCUUGAAUCUAGGCAUUUUAUUUCAUUUCAAGUACACCCUAGUAUUUUAAAGCAUAAAUAUCCUACUAUCCUCAACAACUUUAGAACAAAAAUAAAUAUUUUAACAAGAAAAAAGCAUGCCAUGACAAGCUGUAACUUAGUAAAGAAAGACAAGGAAUGGUCUCUAUAGACCGAGAAAAAAUAGGUCCUCAGAUAUAUUUAUACCAAAGGAAUGUUAUGAAUGUAAAAAACAGUUUGACUCCCCCCCCCCCGCCAAAAAAAAACUCCACAACCCUAUAUUUUGUUAUCACAAGACUGUUUUAGUGAAUAAAACAGUAUGAAUUGGUUUUACCUGUUUCCAUUUAAUACUUAUUAACUUUAUAAUCGUAUAGCCUGAGGGUUUUAACUUCAAGUACAGCAUGAUGACUAUAAUAGUUUUACACAAGGCAAAUGUGAAAAACAGAAGUAAUUUCUUUUAAAAAGUGUGAAAUAUCUAAAAGGUAUGACUUCAAUACAUCAACUCAGGUGAGACAGACAUGUAACUUCUUUUUCCAUGUUUAAACCUAAUAUUGCUUUUGUGCCUCUGAAGGCUCGGAGUUUCCAUGCCUUCUUAGGACAUGCCACCCUCUCCACACCUGGAUGUGUUCACCAACCCAGAAGCUCUUGGAACCCCAUCAUUUGGGGUUUUUAUGGAGUCCCCAUUAAGUAGGUAUGACUGAUUAAAUCACUGGCCAUUGGUGGUUGACUCAAUCUCCAGCCUCUCUUCCCUCUCUGAAGGUGAAGGGGUGGGAAGGUGAGGCUAAGUUCCAACCCUCGGAUCACAGGGUUGGUUCCUCUGCAACCAGGCUUCAUCGUGAAACAAUACAGGGCCCACCGAGAGUCACCCCAUUAGCAAACUCAGAUGUGAUUGAAAGGGGCUUAUUAUGAAUAUCAAAAGACAUUUCUCUUUCUCCUAUUACUCAGACAGUUACAAGGGUUUCAGAAGCUCUUGCACCAGGAACUGGGAACAAAGACCAAAUAUAUAUGUCUUCUUCUAUUACAAUGUCACAGGUGUGACAGAGUAGGUAAAUGGAGUCUCAGAGAGUCCCCAGAGUAUUCCAUGGAGCCACAAAAUGAAGAAUAAAUGGAUGGUUCUCCCCAUGAUCAAAAGUGGCCUGAAAAUACUUGAGAAUGAGUCAUAACUUAAAAGGCUGUAUAGUAGAAAAGAAUGCACAGAGGACCGAAUGUAAAAGAAGGCACCCCAGUCUCAGCUAGUGUGGAUGCAUGCCAGUGUAGAAAGAUGCUAGUGUGGCUACAUUGGUGCACUGAAGACCAAACUCCUGCAUGGCCCCACAUCCUUGAUACCUUAGAUCUAUAUCAUCCCCUAAAACUUAGGUGUUAUGACAUUCAGGAUAUGCUACCCCAUCAUUUUUUAGGCUGAAGGAAUUUGAGAAAACAGAAGCAGGAAUGUAAUUGCCCAGUGGGUUCUUCCUGCCCUGUGCACAGACAAAACCAGUUCACUGAGACCAUGGUAUUGCAGUUAAGAAAGAGUUUAACAGGAGGCUGGCCACAUGGAAGAAUUACAGUUAUUACAAAUUAGUCUCCCUGAAGGCUCAGAGGUCAGGGUUUUUCAUGGAUAGUUCGGUGAGCAGUGGAUUAGGGGUAAGUGCUGCUGAUUGGUUGGGGAUACAAUCAUAGGGGUGUGGAAAAUGGUCCUUGUGUGCUGAGUCACCUCUGGGUGGGAGGCCAUGGGACCCAUUGAGUCAUGAGUCACGAGGCUGGGUUGGGUCAGUGUGAAAAACAUCUCAAAAGACCAAUCUUAGGUUCAAAAUAGGUGAUAUUACCUGUAGGAGCAAUUGGGAAAGUUAUAAAUUAUAUGACCUCUUGGCCCCAUGACUUCUGAGCAGUAAGAGAUGAUAGAAACUAAACCUACAUUUUAUCAGCACUCAGGCCUCUUCCAUAAUCCUAAUCUUGUGGCCUUUCGUUAGUCUUAUAAAGGUGGUUUGGUAACUGCCCUCAAGCAAGGAGGGGAUCAGUUUUAGGGAGGUGCUAUUAUCAUCCUUGCUUCAAAGUUAAGCUGUAAACUAAAUUCCUCCCAUAAUUAGCUUGGCCUACACCCAGAAAUGAGCAAAGACAGCCAGCCUGUGAUGUUAGAAGCAAGAUGGAGUUAGUCAUGUUAGAUUUCUCUCACUGUCAUAAUCUUUGCAAGGGAGGUUCCAGGAAGGUCAUCCUACCUUUCCCCUCACCCUUCUCAUGUGACACAGGUCAUAAAGCCUAGGAAGGAUUUUCCGACCUUUCCCUGAAGCAGGUCGUAAGACCCUCAUUGGGGAGGUGCCAUUUCUAGACCAAGAGAAAAGGCACAUCCUUAUGUCUGAAGACACAGGGACACAGAGAAGAAUCUGAACAAACAGGUCUUGCUAAGUUCCCCCCAGUUUGUUUUCAUUAGAUCAUGCCCCUUUAUUCAAUGCUGUUUCUCCACAACUAUCCAUUUCUUCAUCAAGCCUAGCAUAAAAAAUACAGGUUUCACGGUUUCUUUGGGUCUUCAUUUCCUUAUAAAGUCUCCUGUACCAUGUAAAACUUAAAUAAGUUUCUCUGCUUUUCUCUUGUUGAUUCUGUCCUUUGUUUUAUAACCCUCAGACAUGAACCUAGUGAUGAGUGAGGGGAAGAUAAUUUAUUUUCCUCUACAGAUGCAAAAGGGAAAAGGGAACAAUCCCUAAACGGAAGUUAUGAUCCAGGGAUCAGAGGCUCAAAAGCAAGAUUAGGUUUAAAUGUAGAAAAAUACAUUCCUCUUUCAUUUUAGAUAUCCCAAAUGCCCAAAUCAACCCAGCUAUUUCUCAGAAGUCUGUUUCCCCUCCACCCUCUGCUCCUCUGUGUAGUGAAACUGUCUCGUUUGGGAGUAAAAUGGCCUGGCUUUCCUUACUGAGUAUACUCUCAAGACUAUUGCCUAUUACUUUUUUCCAUUCCUUCUUGAGAACUACGCUUUUUAAAACAAGAAUUGACUCCAUUUAUCUUUUUCUUUUAGCCUUCUGCUGGGGUAUGCCUUCUCUAAAGCAAUGAAUAAAAAAUGCUUUAGCUGAAUAAAUGGGGCAAGGAUCAAGGAGUACAAGCUAAUAUUUCACAAUAUUAUCCUGCCAUAAAUAAAAGUAUGGUUUAAAUGACAAUGGUGGGGUUAGGAGUUACAGGUCACUGAAACACCACCUUAUUCAUGCUACCAGCCCCUUGGCUUUCCUGAUGGCAGCAGGGAAGCAACACAUAGGUAGAAUUAUGAGCCAACAUCGUGACUGGAGAGGGAUUGAAAAUCUUAUUUGUUGUCUUCCUAGACUAUUACAGUUAUCUGUUGAAAUUAGACUCAAUUCUUUGGCGAAAGUACUCAUUUUUAAGGUCCAUAAUAAAUUGUAACUAUGUAGCCUUUGUUGCAUGAGUUUAGUAUGAGCUGAUUGGUGGGCCACAGUGAAAGGCAGAGGGAAAUGGAUGUUAACUAAGAGGUAGAAGUCCCCUUGAAGUUCUGACCCUGUCACUAAUGAAGUCUUUAUUUCCGUAUUUAGUAAUUGCCUUUUUUUUUUUUUUUUGAGACAGAGUCUUGCUCUGUCGCCAGGAUGGGGUACAGUGGCACAGUAUCUGCUCACUGCAACCUCCGCCUCCCAGGUUCAAGCAGUUCCCCUGCCUCAGCUUCCUGAAUAGCUGGGACUACAGGUGUCUGCCGCCAUGCCUGGCUAAUUUUUGUAUUUUUAGUAGAGACGGGGUUUCACUAUGUUGGCCAGGAUGGUCUCGAUCUCCUGACCUCGUGAUCUGCCCACCUCAGCCUCCCAAAGCUAGGAUUACAGACGUGAGCCACCAUGCCCGGCCAACUGCCUUCUUUAUAUCUCAUUUUAAAAAUUUAUAACAAAGAAGUGGGUUGAUUUUCAAGACCUAGUUGUGUUAGUUUGAAUGAGAUGCAUACAUUUGGCAAGUCUGGGGUCUAAGAAAAGAUAAAGAUCUGAAUGCUGAAAAUCUAGAGAAUUCAGGUUACUGGGGGAUAACUUAAAGUCACUAGGGAAUUCGGGUUACUGGGGGGAUAACUUAAGGUCACUAGGGAAUUCGGGUUACUGGGGGGAUAACUUAAGGUCACUAGAACCCAAAUGCAGGGAAGAGUUGGGUGCUCUUUGGCAAAUAAACAUUCCUGACUUAGCAUUUUUCUUAAACCCGAACGUGCCAGCUGUUUUUUUGUUUUUUUGUUUUUUUGUUUUGUGACCUCAGCCAGGCUUGCGUGUUUAUUCAUCACAUAUUCUAAGCUCAUAUACAACUGUGACCUGAUCCAGCCUUCAAGGAACUCACUCUUGAUUUUAGGAAUCUUUCCACCACUUCGAUUUCAUCUUACUCCUGAAACAGUCAGCCAGAACUGUCUAAUUCAGUCUAUACUUCUGAUACAAAACUCUACCCAGCAACCACUAUGGUUUUGUUGCUUUAGGUACGUGUUAGAAAGCACCCACAUCAAUUUACAGAAAAUCCUUAACUGAAUCUCUAGUCCCAGAGGAGUCAUAUUUUAUUAUAUGGUGCUUUUUAUUUAAAGAGAUCGGUUUAAUAGAAAUUACUCAGGCAUUUGAAGUGAUAGCUUUAAAAUGUGGGACUGGGGAAAAUAAGAACACUUGACCUCUCUCCAUAAAAUUGAAUUGUUCUUUAGGUUUAAAGUUUUGACAGACAAAGAGAAAGUGAGAGCAAGUGAGGGUGAAAAUAUAUCCUUAUUUGGUAAUGAGUACCCAUUAAGAGGACAGUAUAUUACAUUUCAUCUUCUUACUUCACAUUCCUGUUUUAAGGAUUUGUGAGCAAAGUGCUGUGAGACCUCUAGAGUUAAGAGGCUGGAGAUAGGUAGUUUUGAUGGUAUUUUAAGGAGUGCUCCAUAAUGUGUAGUGUCUGAGUGCUGAAGCUUAAUCAGCUUCAAUUAAAUCCAAAACAUACUGAAUAGCUCCUAUGUGUCUGGCAUUGAGCUGUGUGCCAAAGUGGUGGAAAGAUGUAAGAGCCACUGAGGCUUAGAGAUGAAAAGGAUCUUGGAGCCACUGGUUUCCUGCCUGCUGGAGUUUCACCAUCAAGGACCCUUUCGUUAUUUUCCUUCUCCCAUGCAUUUUAUUAAAAUUUUUGGUUUAGUAAACCAAAUUCACUAAUGGGAUGUUAUUUUCAUAUCAAAGAGUAUAAUUCUGCCAAUCAAGGCUUCUGAUCAGCAUAAAAUAAUUAGGUUUCAUACUGAAUGCACAAAUUCUAGUCAAAAGCAAAGCCAUUUGAUGACAUGUCUGCUAUGUUGCCAUUUGCUUUAAGAGAGGUAAAGGUAGCCUGACUUCUGUUCACUCUGUAGUACAGAAUACAUUGUUAACAAGUCAUAGGUAUGUUCUUUUAGGUUUCUAAUUACUGUCAGCCUCUCAUUUCAGACAGGUGAUGUGAUAAGGUGAAAUGAUUACUAUAUUUAGACUCAAAAGUCCUGAGUUUGAGUCCUCGUUUAACGAUCUAGUCCAUGAGCUUCAGUUUUCUCACCUGUUAAAUGGAAAUGAUGAUUAUUUCCUGGAAAUUGCAUUUCCAGGUUGUUUUGAAUGAUAAAUGAUAUGGUGUAUAUAUCAGCUGUUUGCAAACCAGAAAAAGCUAUUCUAUGGUAAACACAUGCAGUGGGCUGAAUUGUGUCUCCCAAAAUUCAUAUGUUGAAGUCCUCACCCCCAGGGCCUCAGAAUGUGACUGUAUUUGGAUCUAGGGUCUUCAAGAGAUAACUAAGUUAGAAUGAGGUCAUUUGGGUUGAUCCUAAUCCAACUGACUGAUAUCCUUAUAAGACGACGAAAUUUGGAUACAGAAAUACACAGAAGACAGGGAGAAGAUGGCCAUCUACAAGCUAAGGAGAGAGGCCUCAGAAGAAACACACCUGCCACACCUUGAAUUUGGACUUCUAGCCAUCAGAACUGUGGGAAAAUAAAUUUCUGUUGUUUAAGCCAGGAGUCCUCAACCCCCGGGCUGUGGACCUGUACCAGUCGGUGGCAUGUUAAGGACUGGGCUCCACAGCAGGAGGUGAGUGGUGGGCGAGUGAGCAUUACUGCCUGAGCUCCACCUCCCGUCAGAUCAGCAGUGGCAUUAGAUUCUCAUAGGAGCACAAACCCUAUUGUAAACUGAGCACGCAAGGGAUCUAGGUUGUGCGCUCCUUACGAGAAUCUAAUGCCUGAUAAUCUGAGAUUGAACAGUUUUAUCCCCAAACCAUCCCCUCCACCACCCCCGUGGUCUGUGGAAAAAUUGUCUUCCACAAAACUGGUCCCUGGUGCCGAAAAGGUUAGGGACCAGCGGCUCAAGCCACCCAGCCUGUGGUACUUUGUUACGGUAGCCCUGGCAAAUGAAUACAACACGUUUUAGACUAUGAUGUUACACAUGCAGUGUGUUGAGAGCCAAAGAACCCAAAUGAUUCGUGGUAUCUGCCCUUGAAGAGUUUUUAAUCUUUUUGGGCAUGAUGAAACAUACACAUGGAAAAUAAAAUAGCAUAUAACCAAGUGCCCAAAUCAGUAAUAAAUACAGUUGACUCCAUAAACAUUUAGGAACCUUCUAUCCCAUGUUUCCACAUUCUAUCCCAGUGGCUUUUGCCACUAAAUUUCUUCACCCACUAUUAGACUGAUGUUUUCAUCUUUCAGUAUCAGACUCAAGCUUUAAUCUAGAAAGAGGGGGUGGGGGGAUAAAUGCUAUACUUUGGAACCAGUCCGGAUAUUUUAAGUAUGUUUUUAAAAAGUAUAAUCCUCACAACAUGAAAGUUAUUAGUUCUAUUUUUCAGGUGAGAAGAGUUAAGGUCAAACAGACGAAAGCUAGUUAGUGGAGGGACUGGUAUUCCAAGCCCAUUCUGGUUAAACUAAAUCUUGUGUUCUUUCCACUAGAAAACUGCUUUUUGUCUUAAUUAUAAUUUUGUGACAAGGAUGUAUAGUCCAUUAAGGAAUAUAUACAACAGAAGAAGCAUUUAAGUGGACUUGAGUUUGUUAGACUUUGGAUGGUGGAGACCUGUGCCUGCUACUUCUCUCAUCUCCUGAUACCUAAUGCAUAGUGUUCAGUAAGUAUUUAUUUGGUGAUAACAAUAUCAAAAACUAGAUAAUGCUUAGAAGAUCCAACACCUUCCAAAAUCUCUGUUAACCAGGUACUGAAAUAUGGUCAACCAGAUGAGCUGAAAUGUCAAGAACUUAUAGACACACAUGGUUUCAUGGUUGUGAAACUAGAAGAUGUGGCAUAUUUUACACAAUGGAGGGAAGAGCAAAGGUUAUGCAUGUGCGGAGGCAGAGCCCCUAGGCAGGUUUCCCUCUUUUCCUUCCUGUGCACUGAUUUUUAUUUUGGUGAACUGAAACAGGGGUCUAACAAACUGGUAUCUCAUUUGUCUUUAUAAACAGAACUGCCAGAUUGGCUUUGCAAUUCAGGGCCCUGUAGGGUGCCCACCUCCUCAGUUUGGGCAGCAGCAUUACAUCUGAGUCUUAGAAUAAAAAUGGAAAGCAAUGGCUCAACCCAUUGGUUUGUCACCAUCCACAUGAAGGAUCUCUAUUGGUAAAAAAACAGACUCCCGUGUUCAAGGCCCUGGGGCUGGAAUCAAAUCCAUCAUUCAUUUAUUUCGGUUUUUUAAGGCUAAAUACAUAGGGAAGAAAAUGAAAUGUGAGAAAGCUGUGCAUUUUCAAUGUCAUCUUGAAAGUGAGUAUCUUUAGACACAUAAAGUAGAUGAGUGGUUAACUUGGGCUGGGAGAGGGAGUGAGGAGUGGUUGUACAUGGCACAAGGUUUCUAUUUAGUGUGAUUGAAAUGUUCUAUAAUUUGAUUGAUGAUUGUACAGUUCUGUAAAUAAACUAAAAUGUAUUGAAUUGUAUAAUUAAAACAUGCAGAUUUUAUAUUUAAAAUAUACUUUGAUAAAAGUGUUUUAAAAAUGAAUAUCUCAUAGGGUAGAAUGAAAUGAAUAAGAGAAACAGUGAGGCAUCCAGGGGACUUUCUGCACAGUGGGUCUGUCAUUAGGCAGGUACGUUGCCACAGCCAGUUCUAAUGCCCACUCAUAGGCCAAUGCCUAGGACAAUUGCUCAGAUAUCGCCUCUGACAGGCAAGUGUUCCAUCAGUAACAGCAGGCAUCGGAAGAUGAUGCCAUUCCCUGCUGUUAGUAUGAUUAUAUUGACUUAGGUUUUUAAUUUUCUUUCUUGCUGUGUUUUUUUUUUUUCACCUUCUUAGCCUCUAAAGCAUGAACAUCUGUGUUUUUCAG
rnacentral:lncRNA from 10 species